CAUUUUCUUUUUAUUUGUAGAAAUACAGGUUGUGCAAGGAAUUAUAAGCGAGUUGGAAUCCCAGGGGGCACUUCCUAGAAGCAAUUCGAGGGUCUCAUCUCUUGCGAUGUGUUGUUGACCGAGAUGGAACAUCGUAUGUGGAUGUACAAUAGGAAUCUUCCUAAUCGGCGGGGUUUAAGAGAUGAACGUGGUUGGAGGCGUGUAUAAGGGUAGAGCAUACGGCCUUUCCUCCUAGCGCAAUUAUCAUCCCCUCGCGUGUGGACUACAAGGUAUUGGGACAUCCGCCACCGUGCAAAAUGAGGACCUUGAGGAGAUGCGGUGAACGAUUCAACAACUUUCUAGGAACUAUGCGGAUGAACGAGAAAAAAGAAAGCGUGAAGAGAAGAUUAGAGACGCACUUAGGAAUGACAUCGACUCCCUCAAGGCUCAAGUGAACCACUUAAUUGGCAUGCCCCGCUCUCCGCCAAAAAGCCACAUUUAUGAAGAGGAUGAAAGUGAUAGAAAUAAUACAAAUGAUGAAGAGGAUGAGGGGGAAUCCAAAGAUGAGUGAUUUUAUGUUUGGUUGGAUUGUUGUUUAGUUGGAUGUUAACAUUGAAUGUUAUAUUUUGAUGUUUGGUUGGAUAAUUUUGAUGUUUGAUGGGAUAAUUUGGAUGUUUGGAUGUUUGACGGGAUAAUUUGGAUGUUUGGAUAGUUUAUAAAGUUUUGUUGUUGUUAAGUUGAGUUUUA